GCGGCGGUGGCGUCAGUGGACGGGCCGGGACUGAUAACAGAGAUCCGAGAGUGUCCAGUGUGGCGACUCGGACGGCCAGUCUGUCCUGCCGCAGGCCCCAGGCGAUUGACACCCAGUGGCCUGAACAUGAAGACGCUGCUGCUGCUGCUCUCUCUGGUGGCCUCGGCCAUGGCCGGGCUCUCGCUCAACGCCAAUGACCCGGAAGACAAAUGCGCGGUCUUCCCUGCGCCAAGAACUACCGCUACAUCGAGGAUUGCGCCACGGCCAUCCGUGACCAGAUCACCCGGGAAUUGGACGCCUCCAUCACCUACCUGGCUGCGGGGGCGCACUUCGCCCAGGACAACGUCAA